CUUUCUGAAUAACGCCCACCUUUGCACUGGGAGAACGGGGUGGGGCCUCCAGAAGUUCACGCCAUUUGCAGCGGGGAGGAGCCUGUUCCUGUGUGGCGACCUGGGCUUCAAUCUGUGAGGCGGGAAACCUGCUAGCAGGACUCUUGCCCAGUGGUCUCCUGUGAGAAGAACAUACCCCAGGUAGCCUCUUCUUUGAGAAGCACAAGGAAACACGUGGUGGUGGAACUGAACACAACCCACAGCCUGGAGCUAAACCCAACCUAAGCCAGCCAAGCUCUUCCAAGAUCACCCAAACUCAAGUUGACCUGUAGAUCCAUGGGCAAGGAAAGAAAUGCCUGCUGUUUUAAGAUCUCAAGUUUUAGGUUGAUUUGUUAUGCAGCAUUAUUGCAGUAAAAAUGAACUAAUACACUACCUAAUCCCAUUUUUCUAUUCAACAGUUAUUUGUUGGGUAGCUGAUAUGUGCCACACACUUAUAAUACAGGCUUCAGGGAUACCAUGGUUAAUAAAAUAAAGAGGGCAAAAGUAAAUGAACAAGAUAAUUUUGCAUUUUGACAAAUGCUAGGGAUAAGACAAGAUGAGUGAUGUGAUAAAUUGUGGUGGGGCUGUGGAAGAGGGCACAUUUAAUUUGGAUGGUCAGAGAGAGCCUCCUCUGGAAGGAAACAUUUGAAUGAGAUGAAUAACAAGGGCGAGGCUGCUAGAGGAUGAUCCAGCCACAGUGCAUUCCUGCAGAAGAGCCAGGGUGGAGGUCCUACGGUGGAAAUGAGUUUGGCUUAGGAACAGAUUCAAGUAUAUCUCAAAUAACUGAAAACUGUGAAAUUAACAUCAAAAGUAUUUGGAAGGCUAGAAGCUAGGCUGAUAUGUAGAAAUAAAACCCAGCCUCAGGAAGGAGCUGAGCCAGACUCAAAAACAAGGGGGGCAGCAAAGAGUGGUGGAUUCUGGGCUGGCCUUGCUGGCCACUCACUUGUCAGGGUGGGGUGGGUCAGCUGGCUUAAAUGUGCAGCUGGACAGACAGCUGCUGUUUCACUGCAUUGUCUCACUGCAUCUGUCUUCAUUAUCUGCAUCCUAUUUUGUGUUUCUUGGGCCAAUGUUUCCCAUCUCAGCUAGAGAUAUUUUACAUUGUUUUCACUGCAUGCAAAUAAUUUCACAAUUUUCUGUGGAAAGCCUUUGCUCCCUCCUUUCUUGUUUUUUUCCAAUUAUUUUAAUAGAAGUCGUGUGCAUACAUGGUUUAAAGAGUCAAAGAACUCUGUAAGGUUUAUUUUAAAAAACAGCCACUGUUAUGAGCAACACCCCCCUGCUGACAUUUCCCCAUUCCAGAGGCACUUUCAUCUUUUUUACAUGAUUGACAUUUCACCUUCCUGUCUCUAAAUAACAUACUUAAUACUACUUCUUGAUUUGCUAUUUUUAGGUAUUUUGUAUUGAUUUCCCUCAAUUGACUAGGAGGACUUAGCUUUCUUCCUUCUUGCUUCUUUUAUCAAACACCUUUCUAUUCUAUGCUAUCACCGUUCCCUCUUGGUAUAAUGUUAUGAUAAUUUUGCUGAGCUUAAUGUUUCAUUUGUAUUAUUAUGAUCACAUAAAUGCUUUUAAUAGCCAAACCAGAUGGUAAGAUGUAAUGAUAUUUCCUUUCUGUAGUAGGUGGCUUCUAAUAUGGUCCCCAGUGAUCUCUGAUGACUAGUAUUCAAGGCCUUGUGUAUUCCCCUCUCCUUGAGUGUGGACUGGGCUUAUUGACUUGCUUCUAACAAUUAGAAUACAGCGAAAACAAUGGAUGUCACUUCUAAGAUGGGGCUUCAUAAAGACCAGCUAUCAUUUUGGGCACUAUCUUUGGUUUGCUCACUCUUAGUGUGGUAGGUAGAGUUCUAAAGACAUCCCCCCAAAUUCUUACUCCUGGUUAUUCAGUCGAACACUAAUCUCAGUACUGCUAUGAAGGGAUUUUACAGAUGGAACUAAGGUUGUUCAUCAGCUGACCUUGAAAUGGAGGGAUUAUCUUGGAUCAUCCAGAUAGGCCCAAUGUAAUCACAUAUAUCCUUAGAAGCAGAAGAGCAAGGCAGGAGAAUAAGUCAGAAGAAGAAGGCAGGAGCAGGAGACAAGAGGCAGAAAGAGAGGUCAAAGAGAUCAGAAGUGUGAGAAAGCCUCAUUGGCUCAUUGGCUUUGCAGAUGAAGGGGGUUACCAGCCAGGGAAUGUGGGUGACUUCAGAAGCUGGACCCUGGUCAACAGCCAGCACGGACAUGAGGACCUCAGUCUUACAGCCAUGUGGAACUGAAAUCUACCAACCACCUGAAUGAGGCUGGAAGUGGAUUCUCCCCCGGAGCCUCCAGAUCAGAGCCCAGCCUGGCUGACAUUGAUUUCAGCCUUGUGAGAUUCAGAGCAGAGCCUCUGAGCUUACCUGGACUUCUGACCUAUGGAGCUGUGAGAUCAUAAGGGAGUGUUCUUUUAAGCUGCCAAAUUUUGGGGAAUCUGUUAUAGCAUCAGUAGAAAGCAAACACAUGUGGGAAGCCAGCUGUCAAGUUAUGAGCA
rnacentral:lncRNA from 1 species